rnacentral:rRNA from 1 species
GACGAACCGUGCGAACGUUGUUCGGAUUCACUGGGCUUAAAGGGCGCGUAGGCGGGUGAUCAAGUCCAGGGUGAAAUACUCCAGCUUAACUGGAGAAUAGCCCUGGAUACUGGUCGUCUUGAGGGAGGUAGGGGCAUGUGGAACUUCCGGUGGAGCGGUGAAAUGCGUAGAUAUCGGAAGGAACGCCGGUGGCGAAAGCGAUGUGCUGGACCUCUUCUGACGCUGAGGCGCGAAAGCCAGGGGAGCGAACGGG